rnacentral:misc_RNA from 1 species
CAUCCUAAACAGUGAUACCACCUAAAAUCGGAAAAAAUUCCAGAGUCGAAAGUGUUGUUUAUAAUCUGGCAAGUGCAACGGUUCAAAUUUAAAAUAUUCUCGCCGAGAUUUUUGUGAUAUUCCAUGCUUAUCAGUGCCAAUAGUUCUUGUUAUUAGGUAUCUGGAGACCUAGAAUUCUUUAUGUAUCACGUGAUAAAAUUGUGACAUUUUUAAAACAGGAGCAAUUCGAAACACAAAGAACAAAAUAAUGCUCACCCGAAAUUCUGCUGGUAGUAACCAACGACGAUCUUCGAUCCUUAAGCCACCAAAAUCUCGACAGCCAUUUCAAGAUUUGGAUUUCAAUGCUUCAUCAUCUGAGACAAGUCCAGAUAGUAUAAAGAAGAGACGUGUAAGCUUUGCCGAAAAGAAGCACGUCAAAGAAUUUUGUGACCACAAGGAGCAGGGUACAAUUUGGGAUAAUACUUACGAAGAAGCUGAUCAGAAUAUCUCAAAGUCGAUGGAAACUACAAAUGAGAAUAUAAACAGUAACAAUCUGGAUAUAGAAAACAACAAAAGUGUAGAGAUCGGAAUGAGAGAAAUGGGUUCUGCAUUUGUUUGCAAUGAACAUGAGUCAAUGCAUACCGACGCAUGUACAACCAUGGAUCAAAAUAAUCCAAUCUAUUCUUUGACCAAAGUAUUUUCCAACUCAGCCACGGACAUUCAAUUUACCGAUGUCAUUGCCUGUAGUCGUGGAAAUCUGAACCAUUUAAUGUCUCAAACAAUAUUUUGCAACGAUGUUGAUUUGGACACAACUGAGAUGGUUGGUGGGAUCGAGCAGACAGUUUCUGUCAGAAGAGCCAUUGACUCUCAAUCGACAUAUACAGCUAUUGAGAAAGACAUUAAAAAACAUGAAAGUACCAUGCUUUUUAAUGACAGUGACGGCGAGAUGAAGUUCACCCAAGUUAUCAGUGGUAAAAAUAUGCAGUUUUCAACACCUAUCAAGAUAGUUCCACAUUCAGAAAAGGUGAAUAUAGAAUCUCCUAUAGAAAAUCAGACUAUAAUAUUUGAUGACUCAGGGAUGGAUCUGACUUUGACAAAAUCACACUCAAAUCCGGGCUUAGAUAAAGAAAAUAAUAUGACGAUCAACUCCAAAGCUACUCAUAAUGAUGAGCAACACAUUAAGAAUAAUUUAGAAAGCAAUUGUUGUAUGAACGAACAUGAAGUUGCUCGGGCCAUCAACAAGACUGUAUUUUUCAAUGAUUUUAGUUGCGACAUAACAAAAGCUAUCGGUAAUGUAAGACACUUGUUGCCUGUCAGGAAUUUAUCUGAAGAUAAGAUGGCAUCACGAAGAAUGGCGCCUGUGUCUAAUGAAUGUCAGACUUCCUGUAAGACUUUACUGGACAAAUCUGUUGAAUAUCAACUCAACAAUGUACCUUUUAUGACAAAAGACAUCAGGAUACUGUCAAAGCAUUGUGAUCAGGAGUUAAAAAUGUCUAAAAAGUCUGAAGAAGAUACGGCAAAAUUAAGGGAUAAAACUAUUUUCUUUAAUGACAUUGGCUGCGAAAUGACAGAGGCAAUCGAUACAUUAAGAACUGGUCCAGAUCAGAAUAGAAAUUCUAGCGAUACAAAUGAUGUGCAGCGUGUCAUGAAAUUUGAAUUGCCUGUGAGUAAACAACAUGAAAAUAUGGCAAAAUUAAGGGAUAAAACUAUUUUCUUCAGUGACAUUGGCUGCGAAAUGACAGAAGCAAUCGAUACAUUGAGAACUGGUCCAGAUCAGAAUAGAAAUUCUAGCGAUAUAAAUGACAUACAGCAUAUUAUACCAUUUGAAUUGCCUAUGAGUGAACAACAUGAAAAUAAUUUAAUGUUACAGAAAUUUAAAAGAUCUGACAAUCUUUUUUCUACCAGUAAGCCCAGCAGCAUAGAAUCUGCACCGGAAUUAGUAGUUGAAAAUAAGGAUCAGACAAACUCAUGCGAUGACUCGUGUAUGGAAUUUACUACAGCAAUUACUACAGCUAAAAACAUAGAAGAUGACAGAGAUGAAAAUCUUAUAUUGGAAAUCAAUCAUCCUGCACUAUUUAAUAAUUGCAAUAUUGAUACUACCCAGAUAAAUCCGGAAUUACAUGUAGAAGAGCAAAUCACGCAUUUGGGCACUGAUUCAAUUUCUGUUGAAAUUGAAACUCAAGAACCACAGAAUGAAAUAAACCGAAUACCUAGAGAGAGCACGAGAAAUAUUGAAAACAACGAACGCUGUGAUUCCUCAGAGAACGAAAGAGCUGAACACGAUGCUGGCAUCAUCAGCUCUCCGAGCAUAGCUCUGGAUAAUCUUAACGCCGAAGUGAACGUAAAAGAGCAAGAUUUGUCGUUCAACACAGGCAUCAUGUCAAGUGAACCACAAUUCAGUAAGAAGAGGAAGUCGGAUGAGGGUAUGGAAAUUAUGGAAACAAGCAAAUCAUCGGAUCAAAUGUUGCUAAACAAAAACUCUGAGAAUGGCUUAGUACAGCAUUUAGUUGAUAACGAAUUGGUCAAUACAAGUAACGACAGUCUGUCUAAUAUGAUUACUCCGAGGUCUAAACGGCUUAAGAUAGCAAGUCCCAAUGCUGAAGAAAACUGUGUAUUCACCAAAGAAUACUCUGUCACUAAAAACUUGGAGUUGCAGGAAAAUACGAGUUUCCAAGUGAUCAACGCACCUCCAUCAAGAAAUACAGUUAUGCAUGAAUCACAAAGCACAAUAUCUAUAGAUAGAACGAUCGGAAGCAAUUGUGUUAGUGAUGUUGCUGACGAAAAGCAAAAAAGCAGCGAAGAGAUGACUACUACAAUUCCUGCUCCAAAUUUCUGUGAAGAUCCUGAAAUCUUGAUGAUUAGUCAGAAUGACGAUUCAAAACCUGCAGCUUCACUGACUCAGACUAAAGAUGUCAUCAGCGGGAAGGAAUAUUCUUUCAUAGAAGCAAAAGGAACAGACCCAUAUUCCGAUUCAGAUUUGGAAAUUACGGAGCUGCCGCAUGUUUGUGAGGAACAGAAACCAGCCUCAGUAGAGUGUGAUAAAAGUUCGCAAAGUUUCUUGAUGCCAAAGAAAUGUGUGGAGUACAAUGACAAUUGUUGCUUUGUGAUGUUCAGUGAAGAACUUGCGAAGUAUGCUCAAAGAGAUAAUUGCAUUUGGGAAAUAAGGUCACUGGAUACAGAAAAAGUCAUAAUCGACUUUAUUUCAAAAUCCCUCGUCGUCAUAAUAAAUCUUGAAGCAAAUAAAGAGUUGACUGCACCUUAUCUAAUUACACAUAUUAGAAUAAUUUCACUUCUCCCGGAUUCUGCAGACGAUGAUAUUUCUCUGGUCCAUAAUAUACUAUUAAAAAAACUCGAUCCUGAGCAUUUGAAAUUGGUACAUCGAACAACGCAGGGUAUUUUACCUUUGCUAGACUUGAUUUCAAACAAAGUGAAAUUACUGAUAGAUUUUAUGUACGAGUUUGAUAAGCUGCGGGAUUUUCAUGCGAUAACAAGAUCGGGAAAUAGGAUAUCGUUUCAACUUCAUAGCUACAAAGUACAACUGGUGAUAAAAGUUACUGUAGAUCUUGAGCAAUUUGAAGAUAUUAGGCCAAAUGACGUAACCGUGGAAUGUCUUUUAGGUAACAUAAAAGAAAAAGAUAUCAAGCAAUUAAUCACCGGUGUGAAAAAGGAUCACAGAUUCUUGACCAGAUGGAUCGACGCCGUUAAGGAGUAUAUCGCGUUAGUUGUCGAAAAAUGACACUUAUCUGUCAAACUCUAGUUUAUUAUAUCAGAUUUUAGAAGCAAGUAACUCGAUGCCAAGCGUCCUCAAGGUGUUCGUGAAUUUUACAAGAUAAUUAGGUCCACACCUGUGAACAUCGGCGAAACUUAUUCUACCGUAUUACGGUCUGUAAUUUUCAACCCGAAGUAGUAUCAGUAGCACGAGGACAGACAUCGUAGUUUGAAACUACACCUUCUUAGAAAUGCUGUAGUGAAAAAAAAGCCCGGAUACCGCUUAUACCAAUUUUGAAUAACUUUGACGAACAGAAACAUGGUCACGUUUGCGGCAGACGAAGAUUGAUAGGAUCAAUUAUAAUUAAGGUUUGGAUUAUCGGUUAUCAAUAUAGGCCGGUAGGCGUAAAGCGUGGAGAAGAAAUUAUAUCUAAUUAACAGCGCCGUCUGAUUUUUUAUUCUUGAUUUUCGUAAAGGGCCUUCCCACGGAAGCGGCGUGGGCUUUACCUGCGAGAUAUAUCACCCGAUUUUAUGAACGGAAUGUCAAGUUGUCGACUAGAAAACUCGAUCUCACGAAGUUUCGAAAUUUUCGAGUACAGUUAUCAUAUUACUAUGUAUACGUAGGUUUAGGUACAUACGCUCGAAUACUGUAUACAUAAUGCGGUAUAUGUAUGUAAAAUUUUGUUUACAGUAGUAGAAUUUCUAAGAACAAUCGUAAACCUUGGAGCUACCGUUUGUUCACACCUAGCAUAAACAUGCCUCGUACAAAUUUAUUGAAUCCAAAACUUCCUAAUACUAUCAAGUAUAAAUCAUUCGAUGUUUUUUUAUUUUUCUAACUUUCUUCCAUUGUUAAAGGAAAAAUUCAGUAGACAUGACACAACUUUUCAAGAAAACAAAUAUCAAUUAAUUCGCCAAUUGUUAAUGCUAACACGACCGAACGUUCCUAUAAUUUUUAUCGCCCUACAAGUAUUUCCUUCGUAUGGGAUACGUCCAGCGGCAGUUAUACAGAUAGAUUGAAAGGUAAGGAAAUAAUUUAUGAAAAAGGCAAUUGAUUUGGGUAUCAGACAACAAUUCAAGAUAAUUAAAUGAAUUGUACAGAGGGAAUAGGCGAUAUUGAAAAGCGAGGAAAAUGAGGAUCAUUAGGUGUAAUGGUUAUUGGAAGAUCGUUUUAUCUCUCUUUCAAUGGGAGAGCGAUCACUGGUUUGGGUUUCGGGACUCGUUCGGCGGCAUCUCCCGAGGGCGACGCGACGGGUGUAACCGUCCGUUGGCUGGUUACAGCGCGCGAGUCCGCCCACGCUUCGUUCUGCGCGGCGCGGUGCGGACCGAUUACAACACUCACGUUCUGUCCGAAUUGCUUCAGCCAUUGAUGAAACCUGCGGAGAGUUACCGGUGGCCGAAGGUGCAGCCCCGCAGACCGGUUUCGACUUUCACGUGGCUUUAUCGAGCGCGCCCGCCUCACGCCAGCGUGCUGUUCCUUCCUAUCCAAUCGUUCGGAUCUCCGUAUGCCGCGGCUAUCUAUUUAACGUAUCGCUUUUACGCCGACCUCGUGUUCCGUAUAUUUAUAAAACCGCACGACUCCGUAGGCAAACUACCCGCACGUGUAUUCUUCAUUAUCGUAUUUGAACUUGUACAUAAGUACAUACAUCAUGCACUCAACUUUCCUAUACCUGCGGGUGCAGGUAGCGCGUCGUAAAUCACAUCUUAUACCCCAUGCUUGUACAUGUUAUACCUAUAUACUCUCUUCGAACGAUUCAUGUAACAUU